rnacentral:rRNA from 1 species
AGUGAACGCUGGCGGUAGGCCUAACACAUGCAAGUCGAACGGCAGCACAGUAAUAGCUUGCUCUUACGGGUGGCGAGUGGCGGACGGGUGAGGAAUACAUCGGAAUCUACUUUUUCGUGGGGGAUAACGUAGGGAAACUUACGCUAAUACCGCAUACGACCUACGGGUGAAAGCAUGGGAUCUUCGGACCUUGCGCGAUUGAAUGAGCCGCUGUCGGAUUAGCUAGUUGGCGGGGUAAAGGCCCACCAAGGCGACGAUCCGUAGCUGGUCUGAGAGGAUGGUCAGCCACACUGGAACGGAGACACGGUCCAGACUCCUACGGGAGGCAGCAGUGGGGAAUAGUGGACAAUGGGCGCAAGCCUGAUCCAGCCAGACCGCGUGGGUGAAGAAGGCCUUCGGGUUGUAAAGCCCUUUUGUUGGGAAAGAAAAGCAGCAGGUUAAUACCCCGCUGUUCUGACGGUACCCAAAGAAUAAGCACCGGCUAACUUCGUG